CACCGCCCGUCACACCAUGGGAGUGGGGUUCACCAGAAGCAGAUUGCCCAACCGCAAGGAGGGCGUCUACCACGGUGAGCUUCAUGACUGGGGUG
rnacentral:rRNA from 1 species